rnacentral:misc_RNA from 1 species
GAUGAAGAACGCAGCGAAAUGCGAUAAGUAAUGUGAAUUGCAGAAUUCAGUGAAUCAUCGAAUCUUUGAACGCACAUUGCGCCCGCCAGCAUUCUGGCGGGCAUGCCUGUUCGAGCGUCAUUUCAACCCUCGAGCCCCCCCGGGGGCCUCGGUGUUGGGGGACGGCACACCAGCCGCCCCCGAAAUGCAGUGGCGACCCCGCCGCAGCCUCCCCUGCGUAGUAGCACACACCUCGCACCGGAGCGCGGAGGCGGUCACGCCGUAUAACGCCCAACUUUCUUAGAGUUGACCUCGGAUCAGGUAGGAAUACCCGCUGAACUUAAGCAUAUCAAUAAGCGGAGGA